AUGGACGGCGAAGCCAGCAGUAAUAGACACGGCAUCCUGGAGAGGAUGCUGCUCGAUGAAAGUGCAGAGCCUACGGACCUGCCGUUAUCACUUUUGGAGGACAUCACAAAUUGUUUCCACUCUGAUCUACAAAUUGGCAGCGGUGGAUUCGCCGUGGUUUACAAGGGAAUGAUCGGAAAACUGAUGGUUGCUGUAAAGAAGCUGUCCAACACAGUUGAUAUUACUGAGAGUAAAUUCCAUGGAGAGGUUAAAUGCUUAAUGAAGACCAAGCACAAGAACAUAGUACGUUUUCUGGGGUAUUGUGCUGACACACAAGGAAAAAUGGCAGAAUAUGAGGGGAAGCUUGUCAUGGCAGAUGUACGAAACUGGUUACUCUGUUUUGAGUUUGUACCCAAAGGGAGUCUUGAUAAGCAUAUGUCUGAUGCAUCUUGCGGACUUGAAUGGAGAGAGCGCUAUCGAAUAAUCAGGGGAAUAUGUGAAGGCUUAUGUUACCUUCAUGAGAAGCGCAUUCUUCAUUUGGACCUUAAGCCUGCUAAUGUCUUGCUUGACAUUGGCAUGGUACCCAAAAUUGCUGAUUUUGGUCUCUCGCGGUGUUUUGAUGAAGGGCAAACCCGAGCUAUUACUCAACAUCUGUGUGGAUCUCAGGGGUACUUGGCUCCAGAAUUCUAUAGAGGACAAAUCGCAUUUGCCUCAGAUAUAUAUAGUCUUGGUGUUAUAAUCAUGGAGAUGCUGACAGGAGCGAAGGGAUAUUUUGAAGAGGAGCAUGUAAGAACAAUUUAA
rnacentral:rRNA from 1 species